CUGUGAGUACUGCAUGGAAGAUCAUUGGUGUUAAAGAGCACUUAUCCAUGCAGAGUAUUUAUGAACAGGCUUCUUUGCGACAAGCAAAUAGAAUUGUUAGCGACA